GGGGGGGGGGGGGGGGGGGGGGGGGGGGGGCGGGGCGAAGGGAGAGGGCGUGCUUGUGUGGGGUGCUGGGGUGGCGGGCGGGUGAGUAACACGUGGGUGACCUGGCCUUGCCUUUGGGAUAACUUCAGGAGUCUUGGGCUAAUACCGGAUCGGGGCUCCUGCUGCAUGGUGGGGGUUGGACAGUUUCGGCGGUUGGGGAUGGACUCGCGGCUUAUCAGCUUGUUGGUGGGGUAGUGGCUUACCAAGGCUUUGACGGGUAGCCGGCCUGAGAGGGUGACCGGCCACAUUGGGACUGAGAUACGGCCCAGACUCCUACGGGAGGCAGCAGGGGGGAAUAUUGCACAAUGGGCGGAAGCCUGAUGCAGCAACGCCGCGUGCGGGAUGACGGCCUUCGGGUUGUAAACCGCUUUCGCCUGUGACGAAGCGUGAGUGGCGGUAAUGGGUAAAGAAGCACCGGCUAACUACGUG
rnacentral:rRNA from 1 species